GUAAAUAUCGAUGAGUCUGCAGACAAUGUUGCAGAAGACUGCAUGGUUUCUCUGCCACAGGAAGAAGAUCAACAGGUGCACAGUCCACCUGCAGCCAACAAAAGUCCUGCCCGAAGUGCUAAACUGUGCAAAAUGGUGCUGUGGAUUUUGAUGUUAUGUACAAUCAUCACCCUGGCCAUAUACCUCCCUCUAGAAAUCAUCAAAGUGAAGAAGAGCAACAGCCACUUACAGGCUAAGCUUUUAGCUAACAACAGCCAAUUAAAGACAAAAAGUUUAGGUAAGACACAUUUUAUACUCAACCACAUUAUAACACAUUCUGAGCACCUAAAUAUUUUUCUAUAUCUUAUUUAACAACCAAUUGUUAUUCCUCAGACGUGGCAGAAAAGAUUGGUCAAUUACAAGCAACUUUUUUAGAUAUGGCAGCUAACAACACUCAGCUAAAAGCCAAACUAGUAGACAUGGCAGCCAAGAACAGUCAACUACAGGAGAGCUAUGAAAUACUCAGAAAACAUCACAGCCAAUUAACAGAUGAAGUAAACAGACUAAAGGAUCAGGUUAAAGGAAAGUGGUGUCCUGGUGGAUGGACAAGAUUUGGAUGCAGCUGUUACAAGAAAUUUAAAGAGACAAAAUUGUGGUCUGACAGCAGGAGACACUGUCAAGACAGAGGAGCUGAUCUGGUGAUCAUAGACAGUCGAGAUGAACAGGAAUUUGUAAAAGAACUGAAUGAAAAGGGAGAAUCCUGGAUUGGUAUUCAACGUACGUGGAUACGAGCCAAGGAGACGUAUGAGUGGAGAUGGGUGGAUGGAUCACCACUGACACAAACGUUUUGGGCAGAAGGAUGGCCACGGAAAGACACUUAUUGGGAAUAUGCAACAUGCUGCAAUGAUGAAGGGAAAUGGACACACAAAUAUUAUACCAAUCCCAAUAGCUGGAUUUGUGAGAAAUAAACAAAAACACACCAACUUCCUUCUUUAAGAUUUUUUUUUUCUUUGUCAACUAAUGGCUAAUAGUUUCCCCCAGAGGUUUAUCCAGAGGGACAAUAUAAGCAAAUACUGAUGAUGUUGUGAUUAAUUAUGCUGUGUGAAGCAGUUUAAAUCAGACCGUGUAUAAUUCUUAGUUCUUAAUCAUAUUUCUUUUGAUUUAAAACUACUAUAUAUCAGUUUUAGAUAAUGCAACUGCUUUCUGAGAAGGUUUUACAAUAAAAGUGAUUAACUCCAAUUUAUAUCGAUACAAAACUUUGUAAAAUAAUAGUAUGUUAAAUGAUGAAUAUAAACGGCUUUCAGUUUCUCUAAACGACACAAUCAGAAAUAAAUUGUGAGUCUUCUUGUUUACUUCCUUUUUUAACCUGCUUUAAGGUGUUUGAUAGAUGAUUAUUAAUGAUACAUUGAAGCCUGCUGACAAACAUUUUAAAGCCUAAAUAUUAACAGAUUCCAGAGAGAAAUUUAGAGAAACCAUCCACAAGAAGGGAAGGUGACAGCAGUCCUGUCAAAGAAAGACUGUCUGAUAGUUGUGCAUAAGAAUGAAAACGAUUAAUAUACAGUUAAAUGUUAAAUGUGUAGUAGUUUAGCCUUUACACCAUUUAAUUUGGUCUGUGGUGUAAAAUAGUAAAAAUAAACUGAAGACUCUUGUGUGAAGAAAGGUGUACUGUAUGGUGUUGAGUGAACACCUUGGACAAAAUUUAUUAAAUGUUUGGAAAGCAUUAACAGUAUUUUGUUAGUUUGGAAAUGUAGAGUCACAGAGGAUGUCUGCCCUUAUUGGAAAAUUAUUUCAGGUGAUAAUGUUUCAUUAAAUGACUUUGAUGUUGUGAAAAGGGCGUUGUAAAGUUUUGCUAUGCUAAAACAUAAGUAUUAUGGUAAAUUUAAAAGGAAACAAUUACAAUACUUAUUUCACAAGGUGGACAACACAAGAUCUAAACUUUUUUCUCCUAAAACUAUAUAAAAUUUUGGUAAUACUAGAUAUUUUUGGUUUUAGUUUCCAUGUCCUUAAAAUUCAUCAAUGUUAAUGAGGCCACCAAAUAACAAGGAACUUGGUACAUAAAUAAUGAUCAUUCACUGGAGCCCUAGAUUUAUCAACAGCUAAUUGUUAGCAUAUUGGGAUUGGUCAGUAAGUGAAUGUUUCAGCAAAUCACAUGAUGGGUUUGUUCUGUGAUUAUUGAGGGCCUAAAAAAAGUAGACAAUGCUAACAUGUCUGAUUUAUAGAAUUAAGUACGGCCUAUCUGUCUUGAUGAGAUCUCAACAUAAAACAGAUCUCACAUGUUUAUCAUUAUAAGGCUCUAGCAAGAGAAUCGUUUAGCGGCUAAGGUGUAAUUUCCUGUUUUAGACAGACAUGUUAAUUUAUGGUGUACUUGUUAGGGUGUUUUCACAAAAAGUCUAAUAAGUUACUUCUACAAACACUGUCGCUCAAAAGACAAAAAACUAAAUAAUUCCAUCAGAAACAAUCUGCUUUACUUUUUGCAAGAACACUGUUUCCUGUUGGGUGAAUUAGUACAUACUUACUUUAUGUAGUAUCAGUCUUUCAAAUAAAUAAGCAUGUACUAUUUUACUUAUUUAUAAUGUUCAAAUAAAAUAAAAUAAAAUACUUCAGUGAUGCCCAUUUCUUUUAAUGCUUCCACUUCCUCAAAGCUUUUCACUGAAAGUACAAAGAAGGCUGCACAGAAAAAAAGUAGCACUAAAACCACAGCUAUAUAUAAAGUUCAGACUGUUUCUAUCAGAAUAAAGUCAGUUUUUACAAGUGGAGUUAAGUUGAGAGUCUCUUCAGACAUUUUGAAUUGUCAGGAUGUUCUCAGAUAUUAAGUCCUCUCCAGUUUUCUUCCAAAGAGGGAGAUGCAGCAUUACAAAGCAAGAAGACACCUCAGAGUGGGAGAAAAAGAAGGUGCAUAUCUACAACUACAUAAAUGAUGGGAUGGGGGGGGACAUGACCAGGCAAAUCAGAGUUAAGUCUGCUGUCUUAACUUCAGCGUCAGGUGCCGGAGAAAAGAAUCCCUCCAUGCCAAAAAUAGCUUUGUUUAUUUCUCCUCAGCUGUUACAGGAAGGUGACUUGAGAUGGCGCGGAUCGGCCUCCUUUACCCACUUCCCAAGCUGAGAGAAAAAGGGAGCUGAAAUUGUGACUGCAACCGGAUAAGAGAAUGCUGCAGAGCAUUGGACAGGCCAUCCUGACAACGAAGCGGCUGGUCACAUGUCUACCGCUGCUAAGCCACUAGCCGCUGCUGAAAGAACCAUGUAUCCCCUGCUUUUUCACAGUUCUUCCUUGGAUGAUUAAAGUGGACUCAACGCAGACGAGGCACUGACAGGUUGGGCAGAGAGACCACAUGGAAAGUUUCACGGUCAUUUGGAAAUGUUUGUGUAAUGCUUUCACAUGGUGUUUUUAAACACAAAGAGCUAAUGGACGUAGCUCAUGCUAGCAUUCUGAUACCAUGUCAUUGCCGAUGUGAUUCUAGUGUGUUUUAUGGUUAUAACAAGCGUUAUCUCCACAGGGGUUUGAUACAUUGAUGGUAUAUUAAUGUUUAUGUUAACCGGCUCACUCACUCUGACUAAAAAUAAAGCUGAAGUCUUAAAGUUAGUGCUGAAAAUCCGCUAGCCAAAAUGCUAUCAGCCCCGGUAACUUCUGAUUUUCGGUUAUUCAAAUUAGCUUUUUUUAAACAUAAAGCUUGUUCGUUUUACUCCGCCAUUGUUCAAUAGUGCUAUGAGCUUUAUUAUCACAUUAAUAUUGAAUACUAAUGUUGAUUUAAAAACUUUAGAUUAGCCAAUUUUAGUGACCCCAUUGCUACAGUGACCCCUAGCUGAGGUAUAAUCACAUUAAUAAAAUCGAGUGUUCAUAAAGUUUUC